rnacentral:rRNA from 1 species
AUUGAACGCUGGCGGCAUGCUUUACACAUGCAAGUCGAACGGUAACAGGCCUUCGGGCGCUGACGAGUGGCGAACGGGUGAGUAAUGCAUCGGAACGUGCCCAGAGGUGGGGGAUAACGCAGCGAAAGCUGUGCUAAUACCGCAUAUUAUCUGAGGAUGAAAGCGGGGGACUAAGCAGCAAUGUUUGGCCUCGCGCCUUUGGAGCGGCCGAUGUCAGAUUAGGUAGUUGGUGGGGUAAAGGCCUACCAAGCCGACGAUCUGUAGCUGGUCUGAGAGGACGACCAGCCACACUGGGACUGAGACACGGCCCAGACUCCUACGGGAGGCAGCAGUGGGGAAUUUUGGACAAUGGGCGCAAGCCUGAUCCAGCAAUGCCGCGUGCAGGAAGAAGGCCUUCGGGUUGUAAAGCUCUUUUACCCGACGUAUGAUAAUGACAGUAUCGGGAGAAUAAGCUCCGGCUAACUCCGUGCCAGCAGCCG